AUGUAUUCGUUUUUUGUCAUCCCCCCCCCAAGAUGGCAGUACAAUAGCUGGAAAUAAUGGCAAAUGUUGAGGUGAAAGAGGUGGCAGUAAAAUCGGGGCAAUAUAUAAACCAUAAUCGUUCAUUUUGUAAUGAUGGGUGUGGUCGCUAGGGGAACCAUAUGUAUAGGGUAGUGAGGGAAUGGUAUCGUUAAAUUCGUUAUGUGCAAUCUUUAUGCAUGGCUGUGUUCUUAAUAGAGUUUUUUAUAUCGGUGCAUCAUGUCGCACAUUGCAGGUCCGUCGCCCAAAAAAUUUAGGUCGUCUUUGGCGACUUCAUUGAAUGUUCCUGUGUCCAGCAAUAACCAAAUUUCCCAUACAGCGAUUAAAGAUCUGUCUUUAGAGACACAAUCGGUGUCCAUCAAGUGUCUGGUGUUUGGCAAAAGUGCCGUAAACCAAACAUCAUCAGUGAAAUACACCAUUUUACUGAGUGAUGGAUCGGGAACAAUAAAGGCUGAAGGCUGGGGUCAACCUGGUUUGGCCUUCUUCGAAUCUGUUAUUGUCGGCUUAUGUUAUAGCUUAUCUAGCUUUGCCAUUAGGGAUCUCAAGGAGAGAUUUUUUAAAUUUUCCUGGUUAAAGAAUCCCCUUUAUAUAUCCGUGGGAUCCUCUUCCAAAGCCAUUCCGGAUGCGGAUAUUGAUAUAGAAGACUUCAACUAGGAUUUCAUUUCACUUAGGGCGUUAAGUAGAAAAGGACAAGGGGAAACGUUCGCCAUUGUAGGGGCCGUCAUCGACGAUUCGGGGGACAUCGUUAUCAAUGUCAACAACAGAAACCUAACAAAGAGGGACAUUACAAUUACCGAUCAGCUUAACGUAAAGGUCAUCGUUACCAUGUGGGCCAGGGCCGCCCAAUUUGUCCAAGCCCUACACGAUAGCAAUCAAGAUUCCCCCGUGGUUGCCUUUUGUGGGGUGCGCCGGAACAUGUUUCCGCAGAAGCAUUCGUUGGUUGUCAUCGAUUGCUUCGAUGACACCUUUAUUGAUUUUUCACCGGUAUGCCGCCAAGCGCAAGAAAUUCAAGAUUACUUGAUCAGGACUAAAAAGGAGCAAGAUACAGUUGCCAUUCCUGAGAAUUCAGAGGAUAAAUCAAGAAAAUGAAAAAAGGAAAAUUGUUAAUGGCACACCAAGAUACAAUUUCAUUUAAUAAAUCGAAGUCCUCAUUCCACAA